CCAAGGGUCCUUCAAAUGCGUCCUACGAAUGCAGCCUUCUUUUCCCGGAUUUGAAGGAUGCAUCGGCUGUAUCCUUCACGGCCCAACGUAUCCCAAGAUCCUUCACGGCCCAACGUAUCCCUCCCAAGAUUCAUUGCGCAUUCAAUCAAAACAAUAAGAAACAAUGGCGGAGAAUGUAGAUUUGAGUUUUGCAUUUAAAUGGAGCCAGCAGCAUACUGCUCAAUUUAUCAAACUGAGGGGGGAGAAUGACGAGCUCUUCACCGGGGUGGAACAUUCUGCGAGUGUGGCUUGGGGGUAAGGAAACAAUCGUUUAUUUAUGUCGUAAGUUAGUUUAUAAAAAUUAUUAUAGGCCAUUUAUAUAUCUAAAUUUGACCAUCUUGUAAAGGUUAGUUAAAUUAGCCCUCAUUAAAUAGCAGGACGGAUACAACAUCCCCAGAAAUCGUUUACUACGAUGUCCUAUUUUGGGUUAUUAAAGAAAGAAAGACAAAAAA